rnacentral:tRNA from 1 species
GCUAUAGCUCAGUUGGUAGAGCCCCGGAUUGUGAUUCCGGUUGUCGUGGGUUCGAGCCCCAUUAGC